UACGGGGGGGGCAAGCGUUGUUCGGAAUUACUGGGCGUAAAGGGUUCGUAGGCGGCCAACUAAGUCAGACGUGAAAUCCCUCAGCUUAACUGGGGAACUGCGUCUGAUACUGGUUGGCUUGAGUGCAGGAGAGGAACGCGGAAUUCCAGGUGUAGCGGUGAAAUGCGUAGAUAUCUGGAGGAACACCGGUGGCGAAGGCGGCGUUCUGGACUGCAACUGACACUGAUGAACGAAAGCCAGGGGAGCAAACGGG
rnacentral:rRNA from 1 species